rnacentral:rRNA from 1 species
UACGGAGGGUGCAAGCGUUAUCCGGAUUCACUGGGCUUAAAGGGAGCGUAGGUGGGCUGGUAAGUCAGUGGUGAAAUCCCCGAGCUUAACUUGGGAACUGCCAUUGAUACUAUCAGUCUUGAAUACUGUGGAGGCUAGCGGAAUAUGUCAUGUAGCGGUGAAAUGCUUAGAUAUGACAUAGAACACCAAUUGCGAAGGCAGCUGGCUACACAAAUAUUGACACUGAGGCUCGAAAGCGUGGGGAUCAAACAGG